rnacentral:rRNA from 1 species
GUUUGGUAUCCUGGCGUCAGGACGAACGCUGCGGCGUGCUACACAUGCAAGUCGAGCGGAAAGGACCCCUCGGGGUACUCGGGCGGCGAACGGGUGAGUAACACGUCGGGUAAGUCUACCCCUGACCAUCGGGAGUACUCCGGGGAAACCCGGCCCAAUACCGAAUAAGGUGCGGAGACGUCGGUCGCCGUACCAAAGGUAGCUUCGGCCUCCGGUCAGGGAUGAGCCCGCGGCCCAUUAGCUUGUUGGUGAGGUAACGGCUCACCAAGGCUACGAUGGGUAGCUGGUCUGAGAGGACGAUCAGCCACACUGGGACUGAGACACGGCCCAGACUCCUACGGGAGGCAGCAGUGGGGAAUCUUGCGCAAUGGGCGAAAGCCUGACGCAGCAACGCCGCGUGCGGGAAGAAGGCCUUCGGGUCGUAAACCGCUUUCAGGAGGGACGAAGCUUCCGAGGUUAAUAGCCUACGGGGUGACGGUACCUCCAGAAGAAGGACCGGCUAACUACGUG